UAAUACCAACUCCCUGAGUGGUGGGGAUGAUUAUUGGGCUUAAAGCGUUCGUAGCCGGCCUGGUUAGUCCCGCGUUAAAUCCGGCGACCUAAUCGUUGGGCUGCGGGGGAUACGGUCAGGCUUGGGAGCGGGAGAGGUUAGCGGUACUCCAAGGGUAGGGGUGAAAUCCAGUAAUCCCUGGUGGACCACCAGUGGCGAAGGCGGCUAACCAGAACGCGUCCGACGGUGAUGGACGAAAGCUGGGGGAGCGAACCGGAUAGAUACCCGGGUAGUCCCAGCUGUAAACGAUGCGGGCUAGCUGUUGGGGUGGCCACGAGCCAUCUCGGUGGCGCAGGGAAACUGUUAAGCCUGCCGCCUGGGAAGUACGAUCGCAAGAUUG
rnacentral:rRNA from 1 species